rnacentral:ribozyme from 1 species
UGCCCAGCAACUCCUAUUCCUACCUCCUCGUGGUACCGGCCGGAAACUAUGAGCAACCUUAGGGAAGAUCGGGUAACCAACCCCGGUGGGAACUUUGGUCGUAGGCUGACAGGGAAGG